rnacentral:lncRNA from 1 species
GGGGGGGGGGGGGGGGGGGGGGGGGGGGGGGGGGGGGGGGGGGGGGGGGGGCGCCCUGCGGAAGCCCCUUGGGAAGCCGCCGGGGGCGGUGACAUUUCGGGGACAGUACACAGGUGCGUGCUGCUGGCACGGGGGGGCUGGAGGCGGCCACCCUCACCUUGGGGACGCUGGCCGCGCUCACGGUGGCGUUUGGCAGGGACACGGUACCAGGCGGGCACAGCACGGGCCACCCCCGCACCCCGAGAGGAGCCGGGCACCUCGGGGUGUCCCCGAUGUCACAGGGACAGGGUGGCAUCAGCUGGCCUUGGGGGAGGUGAUGCCCCCCGGCAGCCCCAGCACAGCACCCCCAGGAGAACGUCCUGCCCCACCUGCCGGGCACCCACGGGCCCCCCUGCGCCGGGCAGCAGGGGCAGAGCCACGCGCGAGCGUGGCCCUGGUGGCUCCUGUCCCCCAGGGGCCGAGAAGCCGGAGCCGCCCGGAAUCUGGUACUUGGCAGCCACCCCUGCUGCCGCCACUGCCACCGUCUGCCUGGCACCCGUCCCCCUCGUGCCUUACGUGCCCUCCAUGCUGUAAGGAUGCUCUGGGGCUGCGAGGGGACUCGGGGGCUGGGUCAGCAUCCCCCAGGGGUGCAGGGGAAACCCAGGAGGGGCUGGGUUUGCCCAUGG